GGUUAAGCGACUAAGCGUACACGGUGGAUGCCCUGGCAGUCAGAGGCGAUGAAGGACGUGCUAAUCUGCGAAAAGCGUCGGUAAGGUGAUAUGAACCGUUACAGCCGGCGAUGUCCGAAUGGGGAAACCCAGUGCAAUUCGUUGCACUAUCGUUAACUGAAUACAUAGGUUAACGAGGCGAACCGGGGGAACUGAAACAUCUAAGUACCCCGAGGAAAAAAAAUCAACCGAGAUUCCCCCAGUAGCGGCGAGCGAACGGGGAGCAGCCCAGAGUCUGAAUCAGCUUGUGUGUUAGUGGAACGGUCUGGAAAGUCCGACGGUACAGGGUGAUAGUCCCGUACACCAAAAUGCACAGGCUGUGAACUCGAAGAGUAGGGCGGGACACGUGGUAUCCUGUCUGAAUAUGGGGGGACCAUCCUCCAAGGCUAAAUACUCCUGACUGACCGAUAGUGAACCAGUACCGUGAGGGAAAGGCGAAAAGAACCCCGGCGAGGGGAGUGAAAAAGAACCUGAAACCGUGUACGUACAAGCAGUGGGAGCACCUUCGGGUGUGACUGCGUACCUUUUGUAUAAUGGGUCAGCGACUUAUAUUCUGUAGCAAGGUUAACCGUAUAGGGGAGCCGCAGGGAAACCGAGUCUUAACUGGGCGUUAAGUUGCAGGGUAUAGACCCGAAACCCGGUGAUCUAGCCAUGGGCAGGUUGAAGGUUGGGUAACACUAACUGGAGGACCGAACCGACUAAUGUUGAAAAAUUAGCGGAUGACUUGUGGCUGGGGGUGAAAGGCCAAUCAAACCGGGAGAUAGCUGGUUCUCCCCGAAAGCUAUUUAGGUAGCGCCUCGUGAAUUCAUCUUCGGGGGUAGAGCACUGUUUCGGCUAGGGGGUCAUCCCGACUUACCAACCCGAUGCAAACUACGAAUACCGAAGAAUGUUAUCACGGGAGACACACGGCGGGUGCUAACGUCCGUCGUGAAGAGGGAAACAACCCAGACCGCCAGCUAAGGUCCCAAAGUCAUGGUUAAGUGGGAAACGAUGUGGGAAGGCACAGACAGCCAGGAUGUUGGCUUAGAAGCAGCCAUCAUUUAAAGAAAGCGUAAUAGCUCACUGGUCGAGUCGGCCUGCGCGGAAGAUGUAACGGGGCUAAACCAUGCACCGAAGCUGCGGCAGCGACACUAUGUGUUGUUGGGUAGGGGAGCGUUCUGUAAGCCUGCGAAGGUGACCUGUGAGGGUUGCUGGAGGUAUCAGAAGUGCGAAUGCUGACAUAAGUAACGAUAAAGCGGGUGAAAAGCCCGCUCGCCGGAAGACCAAGGGUUCCUGUCCAACGUUAAUCGGGGCAGGGUGAGUCGACCCCUAAGGCGAGGCCGAAAGGCGUAGUCGAUGGGAAACAGGUUAAUAUUCCUGUACUUGGUGUUACUGCGAAGGGGGGACGGAGAAGGCUAUGUUAGCCGGGCGACGGUUGUCCCGGUUUAAGCAUGUAGGCUGGUUAUCCAGGCAAAUCCGGAUAAUCAAGGCUGAGGUGUGAUGACGAGGCACUACGGUGCUGAAGUAACAAAUGCCCUGCUUCCAGGAAAAGCCUCUAAGCAUCAGGUAACAUCAAAUCGUACCCCAAACCGACACAGGUGGUCAGGUAGAGAAUACCAAGGCGCUUGAGAGAACUCGGGUGAAGGAACUAGGCAAAAUGGUGCCGUAACUUCGGGAGAAGGCACGCUGGUGUGUAGGUGAAGUCCCUGCGGAUGGAGCUGAGACCAGUCGAAGAUACCAGCUGGCUGCAACUGUUUAUUAAAAACACAGCACUGUGCAAACACGAAAGUGGACGUAUACGGUGUGACGCCUGCCCGGUGCCGGAAGGUUAAUUGAUGGGGUUAUCCGUAAGGAGAAGCUCUUGAUCGAAGCCCCGGUAAACGGCGGCCGUAACUAUAACGGUCCUAAGGUAGCGAAAUUCCUUGUCGGGUAAGUUCCGACCUGCACGAAUGGCGUAAUGAUGGCCAGGCUGUCUCCACCCGAGACUCAGUGAAAUUGAACUCGCUGUGAAGAUGCAGUGUACCCGCGGCAAGACGGAAAGACCCCGUGAACCUUUACUAUAGCUUGACACUGAACAUUGAGCCUUGAUGUGUAGGAUAGGUGGGAGGCUUUGAAGCGUGGACGCCAGUCUGCGUGGAGCCAACCUUGAAAUACCACCCUUUAAUGUUUGAUGUUCUAACGUUGGCCCCUGACCGGGGUUGCGGACAGUGUCUGGUGGGUAGUUUGACUGGGGCGGUCUCCUCCCAAAGCGUAACGGAGGAGCACGAAGGUUAGCUAAUCCUGGUCGGACAUCAGGAGGUUAGUGCAAUGGCAUAAGCUAGCUUGACUGCGAGCGUGACGGCGCGAGCAGGUGCGAAAGCAGGUCAUAGUGAUCCGGUGGUUCUGAAUGGAAGGGCCAUCGCUCAACGGAUAAAAGGUACUCCGGGGAUAACAGGCUGAUACCGCCCAAGAGUUCAUAUCGACGGCGGUGUUUGGCACCUCGAUGUCGGCUCAUCACAUCCUGGGGCUGAAGUAGGUCCCAAGGGUAUGGCUGUUCGCCAUUUAAAGUGGUACGCGAGCUGGGUUUAGAACGUCGUGAGACAGUUCGGUCCCUAUCUGCCGUGGGCGCUGGAGAAUUGAGGGGGGCUGCUCCUAGUACGAGAGGACCGGAGUGGACGCAUCACUGGUGUUCGGGUUGUCAUGCCAAUGGCACUGCCCGGUAGCUAAAUGCGGAAGAGAUAAGUGCUGAAAGCAUCUAAGCACGAAACUUGCCCCGAGAUGAGUUCUCCCUGAGACUUUAAGUCUCCUGAAGGAACGUUGAAGACGACGACGUUGAUAGGCCGGGUGUGUAAGCGCAGCGAUGCGUUGAGCUAACCGGUACUAAUGAACCGUGAGGCUUAACCUU
rnacentral:rRNA from 1 species